AGAACGAACGCUGGCGGCACGCCUAACACAUGCAAGUCGAGCGCCCAGCAAUGGGAGCGGCGGACGGGUGAGGAACACGUGGGAACAUGCCUUUCGGUUCGGCACAACUGCGGGAAACUGCAGCUAAUUCCGGAUACGCCCUUACGGGGAAAGAUUUAUCGCCGAAAGAUUGGCCCGCGUCUGAUUAGCUAGUUGGUGAGGUAAUGGCUCACCAAGGCUUCGAUCAGUAGCUGGUUUGAGAGAACGACCAGCCACACUGGGACUGAGACACGGCCCAGACUCCUACGGGAGGCAGCAGUGGGGAAUCUUGGACAAUGGGCGCAAGCCUGAUCCAGCCAUGCCGCGUGAGUGAUGAAGGCCCUAGGGUUGUAAAGCUCUUUUGUGCGGGAAGAUAAUGACGGUACCGCAAGAAUAAGCCCCGGCUAACUUCGCGCCAGCAGCCGC
rnacentral:rRNA from 1 species